rnacentral:rRNA from 1 species
AUAAUCCACGAUCAACCUUACCACCCCUUGCCAUUCAGCCUAUAUACCGCCGUCUCCAGCUUACCUUGUGAAAGCCUAAAAGUAAGCAAAAUAGCUCUUACAGCUAAAAAGUCAGGUCCAGGUGUAGCCGAUGGGGUGGAUGCAAUGGGCUACAUUUUCUAAAAUAGAAAUAUUCACGGACAGACCAUUGAAAUAUGGACUGACAAGUCGGAUUUAGCAGUAAUCUAGGAAUAGAAAACCUACAUUAAGCUG